UGGACGUGACCUUGCUUCUGAGUUGGGCAACCUGAAGUGGAGAAAGCUCUCCCAGUAGAGGGACAGCCUGAGCCAAGGCUCUAACCAUCCCUCCCUGCCUCAACUGUGAGUGAGCUCACUCCCUCCAGCCCUGCGUCAUCAGCUCCACCCUCCACCUCGAUUAGCAUGCGGUGUCUUCGUGGCCAGACCGAUGGAGACCGCAGUGAAGACAGAGGGCCCACUUCCUGGUUGCUCCCCAUCAGCCCAGACCUGCCUUCCGAAGAACACGUGUGUGGCCUCGUCCCACCUGGAGCCCUCCCUGGCCGUCCCUGUCCUCCCUGAAGCACCUCGGUGUGCCCCGCAGUGGGUGAGCUGUGGCACCAGCUCGCAGGCUUGAAGGCGCCGGGGCCCACGGCCUGUGGUCCCCAGGGAUGCCGUCGCCCCAGACAGGGCCCACAACCAGCUGCCUGUGCCCUUCAGAAAGCCACUUCCUCGCUCUGCCUGUUAUCUGCUUUAUGGGUAGUGGGUUGGAAACAGUCACCCAGCCAGCCCUCUCCUUUUAUAAAGGAAUUGAGAGACGGCACCCGGCAAGGCCAUGCCCUUGGUGUCUGCAGCACGGUGUGUGGAGUGGGGACGGAACGAGCUCAUGGCGGGCUCUGCCCUGGGCCAGGGGCUGGGUGGGCUGUGCACCGAAUGUUCCCAGCUCAAAAACUCCAGUGAGCCUCUCCAUAUGGAUGGCAAAGACCUGAGCUCAGAGUGGGUAAGUCUGUGCCCAGCGUGCAGUGCCCAAGGUCACCCAGUACUGCAUGCUGACUUCUCUGCAAAGCCAGCCUUUCCCGCCUGUGGCCCAAGAGGUAUACAGGGAUGCAUUUUUUAAUUUCAAAAAUGUCAGAAACAGGUCCCAUUCACUUCUCAUUUCCUGCUUCCCUGUAUCCCAAAACCACACCUCCCAGCCUCACUUGCACUAGGCUGUGGCCACAUGACUGACUAGCCAAGGAAGUGUGGGUGGAGCCUUUCUCUUCUUCAGAGACCCUGGGGGCUCGCAGAUGGAGAUGCCUGCUUCCCUGCGGCACUCUAUGGAAGAGAGAGGAGAGGGUGAGAAUUGGGGGCACUAAUCUCCUACCAUGUAUUGUGAAGUAUCAGAAAAAAUAUGGUCUGCCCAUCAAACCAUGGGCUAGAGAUACCGUUGCUAAAAUGCAGCCACAAAAUAGGGCAAGGGGAUUCUCUUUCCAAAACUGCUAAGGAAAGAGGAGCACGGGUGGUCCCUGGAAAUGGCAUAUCUGGAAGGAGGCUAUGAAGAUGUUUGGGAACGCCAGCACGGGGCUCUGCCGCUUCCCCAGCAGAAAGAAGGCACUUCCCAAGGCUCAGGGCCAGCAUGGAGCUGGCAUCUUUGCCUCUGUCCUGGCAGGUACCUUUCAGAAAACCCGAUCUCCCCUCUCAGGGCCUCUGUCCUUGUGCCCUCUGGCAGCCUCAGGGACAUUUGGGCUGACUUCUCUCCCAGUUUAGAAGUCAACCGUUUUAUACCCAGAAAGGAGAACAGAGCUCCUCUGAAAGUCAUCUCCCUGAUUUAUGCAGUCAGCGAAUUCCACGAAGCUCACUGAGGCCAGUGAUUCACGUGGCCCCUUAGAUGCACAAUCUAUUUUAUGACUUAAGAAAGAGACAGGAAAAUGCAUGCUUUUCCGUACGUAGGACAUCGACAAGCCCAGCGCCUCCAAUCGAUAAAAUCAUAUUCUGCUGACUUGG